UACGUAGGGUGCAAGCGUUAAUCGGAAUUACUGGGCGUAAAGGGCGCGUAGGCUGGCCUGUUAAGUCGAACGUGAAAUCCCCGGGCUCAACCCGGGAACUGCGUCCGAUACUGGCAGGCUUGGAAUUCGGGAGAGGGAUGUGGAAUUCCGAGGUGUAGCGGUGAAAUGCGUAGAUAAUCUGGAGGAACACCGGUGGCGAAGGCGGCAUCCUGGCCGAGUAUUGACGCUGAUGCGCGAAAGCCAGGGAGC
rnacentral:rRNA from 1 species